CGAACGCUGGCGGCGUGCUUAACACAUGCAAGUCGAGCGAUGAAGUUUCUUCGGAAAUGGAUUAGCGGCGAACGGGUGAGGAACACGUGAAGAAUCUGCCCUCCACUUUGGGAUAACACCGGGAAACCGGUGCUAAUACCGAAUAUUGAAACAUAAGUGGCAUCACUGAGUUUUGAAAGAAUUUCGGUGGAGGAUGACUUCGCGGCCUAUCAGCUAGUUGGUGAGGUAAUGGCUCACCAAGGCAACGACGGGUAGCCGGCCUGAGAGGGCGACCGGCCACACUGGGACUGAGACACGGCCCAGACUCCUACGGGAGGCAGCAGUGGGGAAUAUUGGGCAAUGGAGGAAACUCUGACCCAGCGACGCCGCGUGCGG
rnacentral:rRNA from 1 species